rnacentral:miRNA from 1 species
GGGGCCCCGGGCCGUGGGCUGGGCUGGGGUGGGCCUUGGAGUCCUGCAGCG